rnacentral:rRNA from 1 species
UACGGCGGGUGCGAACGUUACUCGGAAUUACUGGGCGUAAAGCGCGCGUAGGCGGUUCGGUAAGUGGGAUGUGAAAGCCCUGGGCUCAACCUGGGAACUGCAUUCCAAACUGCCGAGCUAGAGUGUGGUAGAGGGAGGUAGAAUUUCCUGUGUAGCGGUGAAAUGCGUAGAUAUAGGAAGGAAUACCAGUGGCGAAGGCGGCCUCCUGGAUCAACACUGACGCUGAGGUGCGAAAGCGUGGGGAGCAAACAGG